AUUGAACGCUGGCGGCAGGCCUAACACAUGCAAGUCGAGCGGAUGAAGGGAGCUUGCUCCUGGAUUCAGCGGCGGACGGGUGAGUAAUGCCUAGGAAUCUGCCUGGUAGAGGGGGAUAACGUCCGGAAACGGGCGCUAAUACCGCAUACGUCCUGAGGGAGAAAGUGAGGGAUCUUCGGACCUCACGCUAUCUGAUGAGCCUAGGUCGGAUUAGCUAGUUGGUGGGGUAAAGGCCUACCAAGGCGACGAUCCGUAACUGGUCUGAGAGGAUGAUCAGUCACACUGGAACUGAGACACGGUCCAGACUCCUACGGGAGGCAGCAGUGGGGAAUAUUGGACAAUGGGCGAAAGCCUGAUCCAGCCAUGCCGCGUGUGUGAAGAAGGUCUUCGGAUUGUAAAGCACUUUAAGUUGGGAAGAAGAGCAGUAAGUUAAUACCUUGCUGUUUUGACGUUACCAACAGAAUAAGCACCGGCUAACUUCGUG
rnacentral:rRNA from 1 species